AUACGGGGGGUGCAAGCGUUAAUCGGAAUUACUGGGCGUAAAGCGCGCGUAGGCGGUUUGUUCAGUCGGAUGCGAAAGCCCAGGGCUCAACCUUGGAACUGCAUUCGAUACUGGCAAACUAGAAUGUGAUAGUGGAUAGUGGAAUUUCCGGUGUAGCGGUGAAAUGCGUAGAGAUCGGAAGGAACAUCAGUGGCGAAGGCGGCUAUCUGGAUCAACAUUGACGCUGAGGUGCGAAAGCGUGGGUAGCAAACAGGAUUAGAAACCCUAGUAGUCC
rnacentral:rRNA from 1 species